GUGCUCGCUUCGGCAGCACAUAUACUAAAAUUGGAACGAUACAGAGAAGAUUAGCAUGGCCCCUGCGCAAUGUUUUUUUUAAUCAUAUCUAUUUUAAAAAAUAUA